AUGUAAUAUUAAUACUCUGUGCAUGAGCAAAUCCAAUCACCUAUUCAAAUCAGAUCCUCACUGAGUAAUGCCCGGAAGAGUCAAACACUGGCCGGGCCAAAAGAGGACUGAGGGAGGCGCUGGGAGAACUGGCUCCUAAUCCCUGCCUGCUGCGAGUCCCUCAAUCUACCUUCUUCCAUUCUCUGGGUGGGGCCAGAAUUCACUGAACAUGAGGAAGUGAUGAGAAGUGGUGAGGAAGAGAGUACAGAUGUCCUUUUCUCACAUCAUAAAACAACUUAAUAGUUUUUUUGAAUUCAGAAAUUAGGCCUCCAGUGGAUACUCAGCCUACAGUAAAUCUGAAACGUCACAGUGAGGAAGAAAAAUAGAGACUCCCGUAAGCUAGAACAAUGCCAAUGGGUGGUCAGUUUCAUAUAUUAAUUUUGGCUCCUUUCUGAAUUAGCAGAUGAACGGUCAGUGAAGGGGCUGGCCUAGGAACCUAAGUAUUACCUAAUUUUAGAGUUUCUAUGGAUUCUAAACCCCAAACAACUGCAACCAAGUUUUGACGACACUUGCAUUUGUAAGCUGGCGGCAUUUCUGACUGCAACUGGAUGUGAGCAAUUCACGUUGCCCUAAACGCAUAUAUCCACCCAGACAGACUCAGCUCUUUCUUUCUGCACUUUCUUUCUCUUCCCCUGGUGCCCUUCCCUAGUCCACCCUGUCCCUUUAUUUGCAGCAACCCUCCUGUGACUGUGAUAGCCCUGUCCCCCGUUGCCGGGCAGAGCCGGCACAUGCAGGCUUCCGUAGAGUAUUCUCUAUAAAACUGUUAGCUCACUGCGGA
rnacentral:lncRNA from 1 species